rnacentral:rRNA from 1 species
UACGUAGGGUCCGAGCGUUGUCCGGAAUUAUUGGGCGUAAAGGGCUCGUAGGCGGUUUGUCGCGUCGGGAGUGAAAACAUCUGGCUUAACUGGGUGCUUGCUUUCGAUACGGGCAGACUGGAGGUAUGCAGGGGAGAACGGAAUUCCUGGUGUAGCGGUGAAAUGCGCAGAUAUCAGGAGGAACACCGGUGGCGAAGGCGGAUCUCUGGGCCAUAACUGACGCUGAGGAGCGAAAGCAUGGGGAGCGAACAGG